rnacentral:rRNA from 1 species
AUGGAUGGAAAUGCAGCAGCUGAUGGGGGUGAGCCCACCUACGAUCCAAUGAAAGAUCCAACAAGGAAGCCACAACGGUCAAAUGAUCCGGGAUGGAACUAUGGAUAUUGGUCUGAGCCUUCAAAUCGGGAUCUUGUUGUGUGCGCUCUUUGUGGCAAGAUAACUUCUGGAGGGAUCAAGAGGCAUAAAGAGCAUCUUGCGGGCGUCGGGGGAGAUGCAAUUGGUUGUCCUAAGGCCACCACACAAUUGAGGAGAGAAAUGGGAACAUAUUUGGAGCAAAAUAGGAGGAUCAAGGGAGUAGUAGAUGUAGAUGAUGUUCAGGAGGUGUGGAGGUGA